rnacentral:tRNA from 1 species
GCCCGGGUGGUGGAAUGGUAUACACGAAGGACUUAAAAUCCUUUGCCUGCAAAGGCUUGCGAGUUCGAGUCUCGCCCCGGGCACCA